rnacentral:rRNA from 1 species
GACGAACGCUGGCGGCAUGCCUAAUACAUGCAGGUCGAGCGGACAGAAGGGAGCUUGCUCCCGGAAGUCAGCGGCGGACGGGUGAGUAACACGUGGGCAACCUGCCCCUUAGAUUGGGAUAACUUCGGGAAACCGAAGCUAAUACCGAAUAAUACAAGGAACCUCCUGGUUCUCUGUUGAAAGAUGGCCUUUGUGCUGUCACUAAGGGAUGGGCCCGCGGCGCAUUAGCUAGUUGGUAAGGUAACGGCUUACCAAGGCGACGAUGCGUAGCCGACCUGAGAGGGUGAUCGGCCACACGGGACUGAGACACGGCCAAGACUCCUACGGGAGGCAGCAGUAGGGAAUCCUCCGCAAUGGACGAAAGUCUGACGGAGCAAUGCCGCGUGAGUGAGGAAGGCCUUCGGGUCGUAAAGCUCUGUUGUGAGGGAAGAACAAGUACCGGCGUAACUACCGGUACCGUGACAGUACCUCACCAGAAAGCCACGGCUAACUACGUGCCAGCCGCCGCGGUAA